rnacentral:rRNA from 1 species
GAAGGUCACGGCGAGACGAGCCGUUAUUUCAUUAUGAUAGGUGUUAAGUGGAAGUGCAGUGAUGUAUGUAGCUGAGGUAUCCUAACAGACCGGUAGACUUGAAC